rnacentral:lncRNA from 1 species
AGGCAGCCUGUGGGACCCCAACAUCACCGUGGAGACCCUGGAGGCCCACCAGCUGCGUGUGAGCUUCACCCUGUGGAACGAAUCUACCCAUUACCAGAUCCUGCUGACCAGUUUUCCGCACAUGGAGAACCACAGUUGCUUUGAGCACAUGCACCACAUACCUGCGCCAGACCAGAAGAGUUCCACCAGCGAUCCAACGUCACACUCACUCUACGCAACCUUAAAGGGUGCUGUC